AAAAUUUAUGUUUUUUCAAUGAGUGACCAUAAUUUGUGUUUUAUGAUCCAUUUUGGCUAUUCCAAAAUUUUACUCAUAAAUAAAUAAGGCGUCAGUGAGCAGUUUGCACUUUUUCUUUUGCACUACUGAAAUCAUCAUCUAAAAAAAAAAUCAAAGAAAUCAUAUGCUAAAAAACCAAACCAAAGAAAUCACUACACUUUCUACACUCGUCCAACCCAACUCAACUCAACUUUUUAAUAAAAUAUUCAUUUCUCUUUCAUCCACCGACACAACUCACAACCUAAUACUCCAUCCGUCCCGCUAAAAGCGACCAC
rnacentral:lncRNA from 1 species